GUCCUACAAUGUUUUAGCACAGUAAUCUAAGUUGUCUCUGUAGUAUAAAAAACAGAGCAGAGUGUUUUUGGGGUUCCUCAGUUGCAGUGAGAUGUGAGGCACUUGCAGAGACUCAGUCCACCACCCUGGGCAGCUUUCACCACCCUGGGCAGCUUUUCCGAGACGUAGGGACUGGCUUGCCGUAAUUCAUAGCUUCUGCUGUCCCUUGCUACAUACCUGAGAAAUUCAAGCCAGCUGCAGAAAUUUGCUUGAGUAGCAAGGAGCCCAAUGUUAAUCCUCAAGACCAUAGGGAAAAUGUCUCCAGGCCAUGUCAGAGACCUUCAUGGCAGCCCCUCCCACCAUAGGCCCAGAGGCCCAGGAGGAAAAAGUGGUUUCAUGGGCCAGGUCCAGGGUCCUUGUGCUGUGUGCAGCCUUAGGACUUGGUGCCCUGUGUCCCAGCCAUUCCAGCCGUGGCUGAAGGGGCCAAUGUAGAGCUCAGGCCAUGGCUUCAGAGGGUGGAAGCCCCAAACCUUGACAGCUUCCACGUGGUGUUGAGCCUUAGGUUGCACAGAAGUCAAGAAUUGAGGUUUGGGAAACUCCAACUGGAUUUCAGAAAAUGUAUGGAUGCCCAGGCAAAAGUUUGCUGCAGGGGCAGGGCCCUCAUGGAGAACCUUUGCUAGAGCAAACUGGAAGGAAGGAAAAUGUGGGUUUGGAGCCCCCACACAGAGUUCCUAGUGGGCACUGCCUAGUGCAGCUAUGAGAAGAGGGCCACCAUCUUUCAGACCCCAGAAUGGUAGAUCCACUGACAGCUUGCACUGUGUUGCUGGAAAAGCUGCAGACACUCAAUGCCAGCCUGUGAAAGCAGCUGGGUGAGGGCUGAAUCCUACAAAGCCAUAGGGGCAGAGCUGCCCAAGACCAUGGGAACCCAUCUCUUGCAUCAGUGUGAUGUGGCUGUGAGACCUGGAGUCAAAGGAGAUCAUUUUGGAGCUUUAAAAUUUGACUGCCUCACUGAACUUCAGACUUGCAUGGGCCCUAUAACCCCUUUGUUUUGGCCUAUCUCUCUUUCGGAAUGGCUGUAUUUACCCAAUACCUGUACUUCCAUUGUAUCUAGGAAGUAACUAGCUUUCUUUUGAUUUUACAGGCUCAUAGGUAGAAGGGACUUGCCUUGUCUCAGAUGAGACUUUUGACUGGAUUUUUGGGUUAAUGCUGAAAUGAGUUAAGAUUUUGGGGGACUGUUGGGAAGGCAUGAUUAGUUUUGAAAAGUGAGGACACGAGAUUUGGAGGGGCCAGGGGCAGAAUGAUGUGGUUUGGCUGUGUCCCCACCCAAAUCUCAACUUGAAUUUUAUCUCCCAGAAUUCCCACAUGUUGUGGGAGGGGUCCAGGGGGAGGUAAUUGAAUCAUGGGGGCCAGGCCUUCCCAUGCUAUUCUUGUGAUAGUGAAUAAGUCUCACGAGAUCUAAUGGGUUUAUCAGGGGUUUCCGCUUUUGCUUCUUCCUCAUUUUUCUCUUGCCACCACCAUAUAAAAAGUGCCUUUCACCUCCUGCCAUGAUUCUGACACCUCCCCAGCCAUGUGGAACUGUAAGUGCAAUUAAACCUCUUUUGGUUCCCAGUUUUGAGUGUGUCUUUAUCAGCAGUGUGAAAAUGAACUAAUAUACCAAGCUAUCACAUCACUGAGUGUGAUGGGCCAUCAGCACUGCUGUGAUGUCCUGCAAAAGUGGAAUUAUUUCUUGACUUGACCUCACUCUUAUGUACUUGAGAAGCUGAGUUCUCUUCUCGCAUGUUCUAAUAAACAAGUCUUAUAAGUCUGGCUCUGGUUAGCCCACAUGUUGAACCUCUUACUUGCAACCCCACUGAUGUGUCUCCCCUAUGCCUGGACAUAAGAGCCUCUCAAUCUCACAUUCAUCCAACAGCAUCUCUAGGUGUAUACUCACUUGUAGCCAAAGUAAAUUUUACACCAUGAUAAAAAUUAGUGUAAAGACUUUACAGGGAACCAAAGUGCCUGGGAAUUCUGAUGAGUAACUACUGAGUGGUUUUUUUUAAUCUCUUUAUUCAAUAGACGUAAAAGUUUAACAAUUGAAGAUUUUAGGUGCCUCGCUUUUACAUUAUGAUUUUUAACUAGUGCAUGCACAAAUAUGCUUUGGCACACAAUACCCUUUCCAGAGCCAUCAAGAUUUAAGUCAUAUUUUUAAGGACAGUGUUAAAAUGUUUACAGGUUUAUGACCCAUAAGUAUCUGGUUUAACUACUCUGUGCUGCAACCAUUUUUAUAAUUAUUUUCUCUUUCACAACUUUUACAGUAAUUUUAUAUUCAUCCUUGGAGAUGCCACAUUGUGUUUUCUUUUGGCUUACUAAGUGGACAUCACAAUCGGUUAAAAAUUUGCCAUUUGUGUGUAUCAGGGCAUAGAAGGUGGAGGAUAAUAGUGGGGGUUGUAAAUGUAUUGGAUAAAUUAUAUGGUACAAUAUGUUAGUGUUCAUUUAUAUCCAUCUAAUAUGAGCUUAUAUGUCACCCAAAGGUAGCCCCAGUUAGGCUGUGAAUACUGUGGCCCAGUAUCAAAGUGAUCGUAAGUUAUUCCUAGAAGAGCGUGUCCCUGCCAAACACAUAUCAGGGCUUCACAGUUUUGACCUUAUUUCAUGUGGUCCCUCUUGCAGCUAGAGUCUGGCACAGAAGGCAGGACUUCCAGCUGGUACUUUAGGUACAUUGGGGCACUAGAGAUAAUGAAUGCACUUGACAUUUACAGUUGGGUCUAAAUUCACAACUGUGUCAGAUAACAAGAGCUGGAUUAACGAGUGGCCAGUAUGCAGAGAUACAGACCAUCUCAAUGGAGACCUCCCUGGAGUAUCAAGACUUACAAAGAGAGAUGAACACAUUGGAAGCCAAGAAUGGUUUAUGGAUUAUAUUUGCUAAAUGUGUGCAAUCCUCAACAGGAAAACCACAGCCAGGUAUCCAAAGCAGAACUGGAGUGUGCUUAUAUGUGUCAGGGGAAGAGGUUUUUAUGUCUAAUAGGCACAGCUAGUUUAAUAUGAAACUUGCACUGACAGUUUAUACCUAACUCGACUCAAGACUUUCAUAGUUAUCUGUAAAGCCAAAUACUAGAUUUGACUGGCUAUUAAAUAAGCAUGGCAGAAUUGUGAAGACAGUAUUAUACGACUAUGAAGCGAAUUAAACCCUUCUUAUCACCCCUCUCCAAAAUCAGAAGAAAAAAUAUUCUUUCACUCCUUUUUUUAAAAAUCAUGAGAUACAUUUUUUUGUUAAAAAAUUAAAAAUGCAAAAGUGCAAAAAGGAGGAUAUAAAAAUCUUCACAACCUCAGAUAAACCCCAUUAGUAUUUUGGUUAAUAUCCUUCCAGUCUCUUUUCAAUGUAUGUGUGUGGGAUCAAUUUUAAAAUAUAUAAUAUGAAGUAUAAAGCAUAAAAAUAUACUUUUUCACAACCUGAUUUUAGUCUGACUCACCAAAACUUUGCGAUUAUCUUUCCAUGAUAUUGUUCUUCAGCUGCUUCAGGUUUAGUAGCACAUGAUAUUCCAUUGUAUAAUCUUAUUUUAAUUUACUUAAGCAGCCUCGUACUGUUGGACAUUUGUUAUGUCCAAGUAUUUUGUUACUACAAGCAAUGCUGUAAUGCACACUAAGAAGAAACAUAUCCCUUGAAACUGGUUCUACUUUUAAUAUUUUCAAGCGUUCUUUCUGCCAUUCCCAUCAUUAUAAAUUAAGUUUCACCCACUCACUUGCUGAGCAUCUAGUUUUCCUCUUUGUCUGGAACUUUAUGUAUGUCCCCAAAUGGAAAUGACAAGAAAUAUUUAAACCCCAAUUGGUUUAAAAAUUAGGUAUCUACCUUAUUUAGGGACAGUUUUAUUUAUAAUAAUUCUAAAUGUCUGUGAAAUUUUUAAAAGGAUUGUAUCUGCAUGAUCCAGUUUCUUGAUGUAUGUAUUGCCGUAGUUUAUGCAGUGAUGCAUCUAUUUACAGAGUGUGUAACACUCAGGACAUAUAUGUAGAGCAUUGUUGAUCAGUGUGUGGCCUUGGGAUCAAGAGGAAGCUGGAGUAAGUUAGCACUGGUUCUCAAAAAAAGAGUUCAAGCUAAAAGCAUGUGGCAUGAGGAACUAGUCUACUCAGGCUACAUGGUUGAAAAUCCUGAGAUAGCAAACACUGAAAUCCAGUUCAUGGGUAUUGAUGCCAGGGAAGGAUACCAGCAAGUAAAAAAGUAGCUUUUUGUAUGGCAAAUUUUGUCUGAAGCAGGAAGUCUCUCUCCUUUCUGCCAAAGUUAUCUGAUAAUCUCAGAAAGUGGGCAGACAUGAGCUCAAAAUUAUAGUUUAGUAAAAGGUUCUGUUUUUGAUGGCAUGAAGAUACAAACAGAGUAGAACGUCUCUGACACUAAUAGCUUGUGGAUGAGCAGCUUCAUAAGCAACCAAUUAUGCUUAAAAAUGGUAUCGAUUGGCCUGGGAAAGUCUUUCAGAGAUUUUCUAGGCUGAUGAGCAUGUGGUGCCCUCUGGAGUGACACAGUCUAUGAUACAAGGAGAAACAUGAAGAAGCUAAGCUUCUCAUCUAGUCUGCACAGGAAAAGAAUGAAUCAAACUCAUACCUUAAUACUCUUUCCAGGGCAGCACAAAGUCAAUCCCUCAUGUUUUGUCUUACAAAAGCAAGACAGCUAAGAAGGUACAUAUGUCUUUUAAGAUGCUGGCGUGGUCCCCACUCCAUUUGCUUAUUCACCUACAGAAAUAAUAGCUGUAGAAGUCAUUUCAAAUGCAAAAGCUGCUGUUAUACAUAUUUAAUAUUUAUAUAUGACUACAUAGUUAUCCAUUUAUUUUUUGAUUUUGAAGGAAAUACACUUAUUCAUUGAGUAACCUUUAUUAAUUAGCUGUUUGUUGACUUCCACUGUACUAAGUACUAUUAAGUACAUAACUAAAUGAUUUCUAUGCUUAAGGAAAUUAUGUUACCGAGAAACAUAUGUGUUUUUAAUGUGUUUUUAAUGUGUCUCAUGUUAUAUGUUCUAUAAAUUGUUUCCAUAUAUGUUAUCUCAUUUGUUCGGCUGUAUUUCAGAAAUUUCCAUCUGAAAGAGAUCAGGAUAUCGUUUCACCCACCAGGUGUACAGAUGAGCAGAAGUAAGACCCACAGAGAUUGUGACUUGUUUGGACAAUCAAUAUCAGAACCAAAAUCUUCUGAUUAAACAGCAAUGCACCUUUUUAACACUUUUUUUCUUCCUAUGCAAACAGAUACAAAAAUGCCUCUUCUCCUUUCCAAUAUAUAUUCUAACUUUCAGUUUGUCCAGUCAAUUCUAAGUUUGUCAAACAGCUUUAAUUACUUUCAAAUACUUGAGGUUUGUCCUGAUACAAAUCAUAUUUAUGAAGAACAUUUUUUAAACUUUACAGAGCUGUUAUAUUUAAGGGAGAGCUAACACAUAUGUUUCUGAUUCAUUACAAUUAACUCAAACUUUUAUUUGCAAUACUUAUUUGAUGCUUAAAUACAUCAUUUUGGCUUCAGUACAGUUUCUCCUAAAAGUAGAUGCCAUUGUUCAUUAAAAUUAAAUUUACCACUAAAAAUCAUCAUUUAGGGCUCAAAACUUCAUAACAUUCUAUUAGAUUUCAAGCUUAACAAAAUUGUUCAUUUUUACUAAAACAAACUUUUCCUCCUUUUACAUUUAUUUUCAACUCCCUAUUUGCUUAUAGAUAAAGCUAUUUCCUUUUACAUUUUCUAAGAAUCCUUUAGACUUUGUAUAUCACAGUUAUUUAAAUGGCUUUUGUUGUCAAAAAGGAAAGAAGAAGGAGGAAAAAAUUUGCUGAUUUUUUUCUAAAAAAUAAUAACAAGCCUUUAAAUGAAUACCUCUUUUCACCGUUCAGACAUGACUGAACUUGGCAUUAAACCUGUUCUUAAUUCAACCCAUCUGUUCAGUGCCCACUACUUUAUUUUUAGUGCCACCCUUUAAAACUGCCUGAAAUACUUCAUAGUAAAAAUUAUCAAAGAACAUGCCACUCUCAACAUAACAAACACAUAUAUGUUCACCAAUGAACCACCCUUUCUGACAUGGUGGUAUUUAUCUCAUGUCUCUCUAAUACCAAAUACAUCUUUUGAAAAAAAUUCUCAACUUAGGCAGUUUAAACCACUAAUCAUGUGGUUUUAUUCAGUGUGGCAUUUGAGUUUAAAUCAUUAAUUUAGUAUAGUGCCAAGUAUAUACACUGGAUUUUUUAAGUUACUGGCAAUAAACGGAAGAUGGCUGCAUAUUUUAUUAAUGUCUGAAAUUGUGGUGGCAAUGAAAACAAAUGACCUCAUGUAAUUCCUCAAAUGGCAUAGAUGGGAUUGUUGAUGGUGGACUGCAUUUAGUUGAAGUUCAGGCUUUGCCACUGUCUUCAGACCCACGGACAUCCUUGUGCUGGAGUGAGAAGCCACACCACAGCUACAGAGCGACGUGGAGGGCACUGUGGUGAACCCAGGACAACAACCAACAGACUUUGCCUGGGACAUGCCCAAGCUUCUCCUGAGGAUCCUCUGCUUUCCAAAACAGCCCUGAGAGUUUCUCAGAAAAACCUGAUUGUGCUGCUUGGAACUACAGUUUCAGUCUCUGUAUAGUUCGGAACUAGAGUUUCCUAUUUCACCAAGAAUUCUUGGUAUUUAUUAUUAAAGCCAAAAAUCAGUUUCCCAUACUUUAAAACUUUUUAUUUUACACGAGCUGUACAUCAAAGAUACACGACCAUUUUUUAUGAGAAUUCUGUAGUUUUAACUUCUGGGAUAACAUGUUUUAUGCAUAAUCUUUUUUUUAAAUAGGACUUUCAUUGCGAGUAAGAAUUUGAAAGCAUUGGUGGGGUUGGAGAAAGCAAAAACUUGUGCAGCAAGGCCAACUUUUCUACCAGAUAACCCUGACCUCAUCCUGUCAGAAUUGAAUGGACCAAGAAUUGAGCUACCCUAAAAGGCCAGUUUUCUGGAAAUAGUUUGAAGAUACCGACUCAUGGUUAAAUGUUUCACAUUUACCCUCAGAAAUGAGUGCUACUGUUCAGAAACGGAGGUAAGGGUCUUCCCUGCCAUUGGACAUUGGGAAGAUGUUGAUGAUUUUAACUGACACCCUGGCUAAACCAUUUCAGGACAACCAUGGUUAGGUCUCUUUGUUGCUCUUUUCACAGGUGCCCACUUUGCUUGUGGGAUUUAGGAGGAAAUGCCACACACUGUCAUAGAAAAAAUGGCGUCUCACUCUAUUGCCCAGGCUAGAGUACAAUAGUGCAAUCUUGGCUCACUGCAACCUCCCCCUCCCAGGUUCAAGCCAUUCUCCUGCCUCAGCCUCCCGAGUAGCUAGAACUACAAGCACGUGCACUGUACCCAGCUAAUUUUUUGUAUUUUUAGCAGAGACGGGGUUUCUCCAUGUUGGCCAGGCUGGUCUCGAACUCCUGACCUCAGGUAAUCCACCGCCUCAUCCUCCCAAAAUGCAUUAUCUCUUCCCAAAAUGCAUUAUCUAUUUCAUUAAGAAAAAGGAGAAAGCAACCAUGCUAAGCUUCAAAUAAAAGCAUGUGAGCACACCUGAUGACGCUAGACCCACUGGAAUCUCGCAUAACUCAUCCUGAACGUGUUGGGAAUCAAGUCUCUCAGGAUUAGCCCUGGUAAUCUGAAAGUCACCAGUCAUCAAGAAGUGGCAUCUCUACCAUGUGGUGCAAUCAUAGCCCUGAACUCAAAUUUCUGUCUGAUAUAUUUGAUGUGAUCCCUCCUUUUAUACCCUUUUAACUUCUGCUUGGAGAGACCCACUGACCUUGUAGCUGACUGUCAGAACUUUUCCUUGCCAGGCCAGCAAUAAAUUUGGCAUUGUUUUGGACAUUGA
rnacentral:lncRNA from 1 species